UGGGGGAUAUUGCACAAUGGGGGAAACCCUGAUGCAGCAACGCCGCGUGAGGGAAGACGGUUUUCGGAUUGUAAACCUCUGUCAUCGGUGACGAAAAGGACGGUAGCCGAUGAGGAAGCUCCGGCUAACUACGUGCCAGCAGCCGCGGUAAUACGUAGGGAGCGAGCGUUGUCCGGAAUUACUGGGUGUAAAGGGUGCGUAGGCGGGAGCGCAAGUCAGACGUGAAACCUACCGGCUUAACUGGUAGCCUGCGUUUGAAACUGCGAUUCUUGAGUGAAGUAGAGGUAAGCGGAAUUCCCGGUG
rnacentral:rRNA from 1 species